UCCUCCCAGAUUGGUGUGGGCCUCUCCAUCACUCCCAAAUCUCUCAGCAGAGAGAGUCCAGCUUAUAUGUAGCAGCAGGUCAACAUAUGGACACAUAGGAGAAACUCGGGCAAGAUUCUCACUACAGCAAUGUUUUGAUUAAUUUGAGUAUAAGCCUCCUCUUUGUAUUUGUAGCAGCUUUCAGUCAUUCAAACUCAUUCAGCCUCUACGUCACUGAGCUCCCUUCUGUAAGAUUAAGCUCUAGCUGUCUGCCAAAAUCACUUAGCCCUGCCCACCACUAAUUAUUAAUGAAUACCAUUAUUAAUGUGUGUCUGGGGGCUGGCUCAGGCACUAUAUAAAGGCAAGAAAAAUUGAUUCAUCCACUAAGUGAGGAGUAGAACAGUGAGAUACAGUAGUUGUGGCCAUUAAGUUAUCAGAACACAUACUUCAGUGGCCUUAGUGGAAGAGGAGUGUUUUGGGUACACAGAUCAGGUGGAAUGUACAGAGGAUUGAGGAAAACUGAAGGACUUUUCUCUGCUGUUUAUUCAUAAUCCUAUUGCUGUUUUUGUUCACAAGUGUCAAGAUAAAGAGGUUUGGGUGGGGAAAAUCACACCUCACUGUUGGCCUAUUGGAUAAGCAUUCUUUCUCUGACGGCCAUAGCUGAGCUAUUACAGAGUAUAUACUGAGGAACUUUGCUGGCUGACAACACAUUUGCUACAAGACAACUACAUUCAGAUAGGAGACCGUCUUUUCUUUUUCAAAAUGACAACGAUGAACUGUCUGUGUUGUUUUUCUGUUGUCUUAGUGUGUAUUAUAUUUGUCCCCACAGGAAUUCAUGGAGACACAGUGUGUGCAUCGUGUGAUCGUUCAAAAUGCACAGCAGUCGAUGACUGUCCCAAGGGACAGAAACUAGUAAUGGAUGAGUGCAACUGUUGCAUGAGCUGUGAGGAUGAGAAUGCACCAGCAAAAAUUCCAAAACAUGAUCCUUGCUUGCAGAUAACUUGUCCCCGUGGGAAGGUAUGUCUUCUUAAUAUCCAGGGUUUGCCUGUUUGUCGCUGUCCUAGUCUUGCCAUUUGUAAGAUGAAGCGCAGAAAGAAGGACGUUUGUGGUCGCGAUGGGGUCAGUUAUGCAUCACGUUGUCACCUCCGUGUCCAAGAAUGCAAUUCGGGCAAAAGGAUAAGGGUAGCUCACAAAGGACCAUGUAAAAAAUCAGAACUGCUUAAACAUAAUAAACAAGACAAUAGCCAGCUUCUUGGUGACAAAAAGAACAAAAAACUAUCACGCAAAGAGCGUCGGGAUCGUAGGAGACAAAGAAGGAAGGAAAAAGAACAAAAGAAUCGAAGAUUACGAAGAAACCACAGAAGAUUCUCGACAUUUUGAAUCUGUCCUGUUGAAUUUUUUUAAAACAUUAACAUGCCACUGCCUAGCUGUUUUUUGCUCUCUGUGCCAAUGACAAAUUAAAGGAUUAAGAAGAAGCUAUUGUGCUGUAUGACAAAAGAGGAGUUUAAGAGUUUUAAAAAAUGUCGUAGCUAUGAAGUUUGUUUGCUUUUACUUUCACUGAAAGCAUUCAAUUAUAGUACCUAUGUAAUUUAUUUUCCAUAUUAAGUUCUCUUUGACAUUGCUUAUUAGAUUUUUUGAGAAGAUUUAUUGUGAUUAUACAAAUUGUAUUUAGAAUUAUGAAGCAGUAUUCAUUUAGUAUUAGGGCCCUAAUUUAUAUACUUUUACUCACUUGCUUAAGGGUUUUGAAGUUCUUUGGGGGAUUAUAUUCAUACUAAAAUGACACUAAACUCUAAAUUGAACAGAGAUUUAUUUUGACUCAGCUGAAAUGCCUGUUUUAAAACUCCGGUUAAUCGUUUUUUUUUCUUUUUUAACUGGUGCCAGACAAAUUUUACCAACUAACUAUUCUUUAUCUCAAUGCUUCAAGAAGAAAUGUCAAAUUUUCUUUAUUGUAUAAAAGUGGGUAUAAAUAUGUUAUUCUCCAAUUUAUGCCAUAGUAUAUCAGAUAUAUGCACAGCCUGUUGUCAGAUAUCCCUCUUAACUGCUUUAAUCAUGCAAGGUGCCCUUUUUCAUAUAAAUGUAGACUCCCUGUGUACAGAACUUACCUUACUUAAGCCUGAAUUAGUCUGAUUGAUGUUACUAAAAUGCUUAACAUUGGAUUUAAAAAAAUAACUUGAAAAACUAGAUAUGGUCUGAAUUUUGUUACUAAAAUGAAAAUCUUAAACAUCUGAACAAAUUGUGAUGUGCCAAGAAAGCCCCUAUUUAAUCUAGAAUAGUCAAUUGGAUUAUUUCUGGUCUAAGUAAAUCCUGUUGUAAACACCACUUACUGUUCUCACUUUUUUCUCUAAAUCAAGUAAUGUAAUCAAUUUUCCUAUUAUUCAUAUGAAUACCUUUGGCUCAGUUCUUUCAUGGUGCAGACUUGCACAGACUAUGACAGCCUAAAAUGUUCAGAAGCAAACACAGUGAUAUCCCAGCAGUUUCAAUGAAAUAUGCCAAGUUUGUAGUCCACAUUUUAUUUUUACAGAAAAAUAUUGGCAAGUGAAGUAGAUUUUAUCCAGUGCCAUACUAACACCUACCCAUCCAAAGUAAAUAAAAAUGCUGAAUGUAAAGGUAAACUCAUGGAUGAUCCGUUGGUUUAUCUCUUUCAAACUUUGAUGACUGUGGUAUCUUCCUAUCAUUAUGUCAUACAGAUUUUUUUUUUGUAAAUAUUUAAAAACUGCUGCAAAAGAAGCAACUGCUACAUGUCUUUUGUGAUAACUGUACAUAAUUGUAUUUUGUAAUUUGUAUACCAGUUGCCUGUUAGCAUUAUCAUUAUCUAUUUAUGAAAAUAAUUUUAUUAUACUAUAUUCUGGCUUAGCUGAUAUCAGUCUUUGAUAAAAAGUAAAGUUGAGGCAACGAGUACAUACAGUGUAAUUGUCUGGUACAGUCAGCUAUUGGUUGCAGUAUUUUUACAUCUUUACUCGAAAGAUGCAUGGCUGUUUUGAAUGUAAAACAUAAUGCCAAUAUUGUUAGACAGCCAAGAAGUCUAUUUUUACCAUCAAAAACGAUCUAGGACUCUUGUCCCUGGCUGAAUUGGCAAUGAAAUAAGGGGAAACUACCAAGGGGGAGAAAACAAUAACAGACGCGAGAUUUAAAAGAAGAUGCAACGAUAAUUUGGACUCAUCGGGGACAAGAUACCCUAGCCUGGAGAUUGUGAAAUCAUUCAGCCAUGUUUAUGCCAGAUAGCAAGCAGCCGUUGUUAUCUGGUGAUCUGUCUUUUGAUGGUGCAUACAAACAGGAGGACAUGUCAGAAAGGUGUUCUCCCAUCUUACUGUAAUCCAUCAGAUCAUGCCAAGAGCACACUUAGCAUAAGGAGACAAAUUAUGAUGGUGAUUAGGCCUGAUUAGCCCAUCAUUUAUCAGGCCCAUUUACAUAAGUUACUGAAGAUGGGCUGGCAAAUUUCUGAUAAGCUUCACAAAGCCAGCGAGAUCUCAUUUGUAAAAAUGUUGUCAGUAUUUAUUUCUUUGCUACAUUAGGAUUGUACUUAUUGUGUUUGUGAGAAUACGGAUAUUUAACUACUGCAAAAAAUUAAAAAGUUAAGUAUAGAACAGAAACAUUUUUAAUUGUAAAUUAUAAAGUAAUAUGUAUAAGACAGACCUGAAAAAAAAAAAUGGACCAAAAUGUUGCAGCCACCCAUUCAAUUUCUUGUAUUUUAUAAAAUUUUGAAGUGAUAUUAAAAUAAGCUGCAUAACUUUGUACUGAAGAAAGCAUGCAAUCAUUUUAUUAUUGCAAUAGAAAAGAUAUGAGCUGUCACUCCAUGCAUUUUUUUUACUUGUUAAAUUUCCAAUAUGUUUAAGUUCAUGAACUCAAUAUCCCAUUGCCAUUAUAAGUAAAGAGAGUUGCAAAACUCCGAAAGAAGCAAAUAAAGCUAAAUGUAUUCUGCUGCUACCAUACUUGUUCUUGUAAACCUCGUGUAUAGAUUUUAUGUUGACAUUUUCUUUUUUAAAAGUUAUCUAUAUUUUUCUAAUUUUAAAAUUAGGAAUGCUUGUUCUACUUUGAUCUGAAAAAAAAUCAAAGCAUGCUAAAUAUCAUAAUGGACAAUCUUAGAUGCU